CGGAGGGGAUGGCGAAGUACGGGUUUCUUGCUUUGGCGGCUUCUAUUGUUGCUUUUACUGGCCUAUAUGUUCGUUCAAGAUUGACGAUCAAUCCUGAUAAGAUUUACCGAAUUGCAAUGAGGAAACUGAACACCUCAGCUGGAAUUCUCGAAGUCAUGGGUGCCCCCUUAACCGGCACUGAGGUGAGAGCAUAUGUCAUGUCAGGAGGUGGACCCACGUUAAAGAAUUUCAAGUUGAGGGUUGGUGGCAAGCGGUGCUUCCUCAUCUUCCCUAUCCGAGGGUCUGAAAGAAGGGGGCUUGUUAGUGUUGAGGUCAAG
rnacentral:misc_RNA from 1 species